AUCGCUUCUCAGCCUCUUGGCUAAGAUCAUGUGUAGUAUCUGUUCUUAUCAGUUUAACAUCUGAGACGUCCUCUAUCCGAGGACAAUAUAUUAAAUGGAUUUUUGGAGCAGGGAUUUGGAAUAAGAGCUUGCUCCAUCUACUCCACGCCAUCAAUGUGGUAUUGCAGUACUUCCAGGAAUGGUGCACCCCUU